rnacentral:rRNA from 1 species
UACGAAGGGAGCUAGCGUUGUUCGGAAUUACUGGGCGUAAAGCGCAUGCAGGCGGGUCGUUAAGUCGGGGGUGAAAUCCCAGGGCUCAACCCUGGAACUGCCUUCGAUACUGGCGAUCUUGAGUCCGGGAGAGGUGAGUGGAACUCCGAGUGUAGAGGUGAAAUUCGUAGAUAUUCGGAAGAACACCAGUGGCGAAGGCGGCUCACUGGCCCGGUACUGACGCUGAGAUGCGAAAGCGUGGGGAGCAAACAGG